rnacentral:lncRNA from 1 species
GAAUGUGAGAAAAUGUUUCCCUAAAUGUGAGCUAAAUCUGACCAAACCUCAAGUGACAUCCUCAAUUAGAAAAAAAAAUAAAAAUAAAUAAACAGUAAUUACCUGUAUAAAAUCAUUUAGCUAUAGGUAAACUUUUUUUCGAGCGGAACAAAGAAAAAUAGACACCAUACACAGAGCGUCCAUCUGUUCUGCACAUAGAGUGCUAUUUACAUAGGCUACAUUCACUUCCUCCCGCGCUGUCACAAGUGUACGCACAUCAAAACUUCCCAACAGGGAAAUGUGAUAAUUCACUUCAGCCGAUUUCACGUGAUGUCUGUUUGUUAGAUUAGCCGUAGAAAAGAAAUGUAAGUGCUGACCUAAGUCUAUGGUGCUGACAAAUGUGACUGACACUCUCUUUUAGGUUAAGGGAAAGUUUCUCAGGUUCGUGUUCACCAGACAAAAAGGCCUACGCCGUAGCCUUUUCGCCGUAGGCUAUGCGUCAGUUCCAGGCUGUCGAUGACUGCACCGCAGAGGAAAAGAGACUGCUGGACUUCAUUGUAAAGUUACAGGGAUCUGAGGAGCAUUUGGUGGGUUUACUCAAUGGGAACCCCUCUAAGUGGUCUCAUAAGCUAACCUCUUCCCAAGUGCCUGUCUGCCUCGACAGUGAGGAACAACUGUCCUGUUUGCCUGCCCUACUGCAUAUGAAACCAACUCAAGUGCAGUUCAUCUGUGGUGCUCUUUUUUCAGAGGUACGCCUGACCAUCUAAUGUGUUUGUGUGUGUCCUGCUCCUGCACUUACAAAAUCUACUGUAUAAACUGCAUGCUGGUGCAAUGCGUGUAUGGACCCAUGCAUAAUGGCUUGCUGUUCAGUAGUGCUAUAGUAGUAUACUUAAAUUUACAGUUUUUUCAUAGGCCAUCAUAUAUGCCCUAGCUAUCCUACGGAAUAUGUCCUUGCAGGAGACUGAGCAGGUCUUCCUUUCUAGUCCGGAUUAUCAUUACAGGUCAGAGAGGAAUAUGAAUUAUUUUUGCACAAUGCUCAGUGCACCCUUUUGUAACUGAUAUUUCUGUUAACCCAACAGUGAAUGUUCUCAUAUAACUAUUUCAGUGAAGUGGAAGAUUUUACUUAAACAGCCAUAAGAUCAGAUAUCAGAUCAGAUGAAUGUGUACACAUUGAUUUCAUCUGAUUUCUGCCACCAUAACCCAGUUGUUCAUGAAUGUCUCGAAGUAUGAGAUGUGACACAUGCUGAUCCUUCGAUAACAAGAUGGGAUGUUUCCUUUCACUUGGCAUAGCUGACUUACCAAGUCUUCCCCCCACUAGCAGCAGACCAUCAUGCAACAUAG